UUAAAGAGUUCUAUAACUCCCAAACCCAUGUGAACAUACCUAACGUUGCCUCGGCAGGUCGCACCUACCUUGUAGCACCUUACCCUGUAAGGCCUACCUGGGAGGUGCGGGUAAGCCUGCCGGCGGCCCACCAAACUCUGUUUGAUAUUGAAUUCUGAACCUAUAACUAAAUAAGUUAAAACUUUCAACAACGGAUCUCUUGGUUCUGGCAUCGAUGAAGAACGCAGCGAAAUGCGAUAAGUAAUGUGAAUUGCAGAAUUCAGUGAAUCAUCGAAUCUUUGAACGCAUAUUGCGCCCAUUAGUAUUCUAGUGGGCAGGACCGUUCGAGCGUCAUUUCAACCCUUAAGCCUUCGUUGCUUAGUGUUGGGAGCCUACGGCAACGUAGCUCCUCAAAGUUAGUGGCGGAGUUGGUUCACACUCUAGACGUAGUAAUUUUUUAUCUCGCCUAUUAGUUGAACUAAUACCCUGCCGUAAAACCCCCAAUUUAUCAAGGUUGACCUCGAAUCGGUUCAGACAAACUCGCUAAAUUGAAGCAUCUUAGUCAGCGAAGGAAAAGAAACCAACAGGGAUUGCCCUAGUAACGGCGAGUGAAGCGGCAACAG
rnacentral:rRNA from 1 species